UACGUAGGGUGCAGGCGUUAAUCGGAAUUACUGGGCGUAAAGCAUGCGCAGGCGGUUUGCUAAGACAGGUGUGAAAUCCCCGGGCUUAACCUGGGAACUGCGCUUGUUACUGGCAGGCUUGAGUGUGGCAGAGGGGGGUGGAAUUCCACGUGUAGCAGUGAAAUGCGUAGAGAUGUGGAGGAACACCGAUGGCGAAGGCAGCCCCCUGGGGCUAACACUGACGCCUCAUGCACGAAAGCGUGGGGAGCAAACAGG
rnacentral:rRNA from 1 species